rnacentral:rRNA from 1 species
UACGUAGGGCGCAAGCGUUGUCCGGAAUUAUUGGGCGUAAAGCGCUCGCAGGCGGUUUCUUAAGUCUGAUGUGAAAGCCCACGGCUCAACCGUGGAGGGUCAUUGGAAACUGGGAGACUUGAGUGCAGAAGAGGAGAGUGGAAUUCCACGUGUAGCGGUGAAAUGCGUAGAGAUGUGGAGGAACACCAGUGGCGAAGGCGACUCUCUGGUCUGUAACUGACGCUGAGGAGCGAAAGCGUGGGGAGCAAACAGG